UUGGAUUGCACUACCACUGAUACUGAGACCUUAGACAUAUAGUCAAACAUUUCUAUAUCUCUGAAAGCUCACUUCCCUCAUCAUAAAUGGUGACAGUUAUAGUACCUACCUCAUAGGGUUGUUGUAACAUUUCAGUGAGUAU